rnacentral:rRNA from 1 species
AUGACCGCCGGGUGCACGGGGCUGACGGCUAUCCCGCGCGGACAUGUAGCAAUAAUGGAGAUCUGGGCCACGAUGCUGGGAUCUAAGGGUGCGACGGAUGUUGGGCGCAUGGUGCCAACGGCCGCCGGGCGAGUGUCUGCGGUGGUGGUCUGGCCUGGGUUGGUCGUUGGUGGUGCAACGCCGGGUGAAGACCUUGUUGCCAGUCUUGGGGCUGGGGCUGGCGACGGCGACGCCAGCAGGCGCUGCUUCCUUCUAGAAGGCGUCGCUGAAGUCAACGAUGACAGUGGUGAGCAUUGUCGGAGGCGUGGCAUUAGUCUCGGUAGUCGGCUCUUCUCCGGCGUGCCCGUGAGAUUACCUCGGCUAGUUGUUGCUGUGAAGUCGAAAUUGUGGUGCGGCCCGCCGGUGGCGUACGAUGGCGGGCAACAAGUGGUCCAUUCGGUGAUCUUCCGUGACUCCAACCUUGUCUAUUUAGAGCAUAAUUGCGACCUUCUCCUCCCCCGCUCCCCGCCGUCGGCCACCUCCCCCCGUCGCUGGCCGCUCGGUCACCGGCGCCACCCUCCCGGCUCCAUGGGGCGCGGACGCUCGGUGCGCUCCCGCGGCUCUGCAUGCUCCAGCUCGCGCGGCAGCGAGGGAUGGGGUCAACCCACCCCCGUCCCAGAUCUGCGUCCGUCCCGGCGGUCCGUCUGCGGAUCCGAUCCCUUCGCCGCCCCCAGUCCUCCUGCUAUCAUCCCCGUUGAUGGAUGGACGCCGGUCUUGUCCCGCAACACGCGUCGCGCCGCCGCGCGCGCCCAUGCCUCCCCCGCGCGCUCGCGGCGUCCCCGAGGCCAGCGCCUCUCCUUCAAUGCGGGCGCUGCCUGCGCGGCCUUCUUAAGGCGUUUCAUGGGGCUCUGCUUCCGGUGCCUCAGCUCCAAGCAUCGCCGCGUCGAUUGUAGAGAUCCCAUACACUGCAUUGAGUGCAAGCUGCGGGGCCACAUCGCCAAGGACUGCCCCCAAAGCCGGCGUGGUCGUAGUGGUGGUCUGGCGCCCGCCGCUAGCCGUGCUCCUGUCUGUGAGAGGCUCCGCUUCCCCACACCUCCUCCGCCCAUGCCGGCCAUGGACCGCUGCCGCCACACCGACCCCUCGCGCCGGCCAAGGGACGGCCACAAGGUGGUGAUUGAGUCGCCGGAGAUGGAGCAUCAGAUGUUCCUCCUUCGCCGCCACGCCGUCCUCCUCAUCUCCACGGCUGAGCGGCACGCGGCGAGCCCCAUGUCCAUCGGCCGCGCCUUCGACACCGUUCUCCGCACUCCGGCGCACCUGAUGCAAGUGACCAGCCACGACCCGGAGGACUUCCUCGUCCACUUCGAGCUGCCAGCGCACCGGGACAACGCCGUCCGCCUGGGCUCCAUCAACAUCGACGGUGUCGUCUUCACCAUCAAGCCAUGGCACGAGGACAUCCACGCCGACCAUGAAGACUUCCUCCUCCAUGUCUGUGUCGUCAUCGAGAAGAUGCCCAUGCACCUGUGGUCUGUCGACGGUGCGGCAGAGGUGCUCGGCGACAAAUGCAUCAUCGGCCGGCUCGACAGCCGCACGCACGAGCGCGGCCACACGUGGACCUUUGCGUGCUGGGUGUGGCACACCAUAUGGCACGCGGCGCAUGGUGCCGGCUGCGUCGAGGCCAUGUUGGGCUACUCGCCGCCCAGCCGUGAGGUCCCCCCUCCACCCCGCGUCCGAUGCAACGUCAUGCUCAUCCACGUCGACCGCGUUGAAGAUUGGACGCCGCUGACGCCUUGCUCCUUGCACUCGGGCCAGAGCGGCAUCCCGUCCCCUGGGUCCGACGAUGAUCGCCCGUUCCCGCGGGUGUACCCGGGGACGUGGUCGAUGCACAUUGAGGAUGGCCAGGGGCAGGGCAGGCGCCAGCCCCCGGUGGUCAGCCCCUCGGGCUGUGGCGGGCUCCAGCUCGGGCCUCGCCGGGACCAUGACGACAACAAUGGGCCACAGGGUGGCUGGCGCUCCUGGAAGGACACACUCCUGGUUCGCGGCCACGACGGGCGCGAGCAACCGCCCCGGAGGAGCAACAGUGGCGCCGCACGCCAGCGAACCAGGACACCGAUCAGCAGGCGCCACGACAAGGACACCCGCCACGCUGGCAACAGCCUCAGAGCCACCCUGCCUCUGCCGCUAUUGUCGAGCCAAGCCGAGAACACGGCCAAGGGGCCAGCAGCAACCUCCAUUGCAGCGGACCCUGUCGCCGACUUCUUUGACUCGGCGGACCGCGCGCCUCUCCAGCCCGUCUGUGCAGACUGCAGUCUCCUGGAGAUUGACCAGGCGAUCGCUUCAAUGCUUGUUGCCCCGCUCGAGUUUGCCCCCAGGACCUCGACCGUGGCCUGCCGCACCAUGCCCACGGCGGUCUCCACUGAAGUUCAGCUUGCCGCAGUGACACAGCAGUCUCUUCACCGGCACACCGGCUCCCCUCCUGCGUCAACCCCCCGCUCGACGCACCUCGGCACCACCCAGGGCCCAUGCAGGCCCGACCAGGCAGAGUGCACGGCAGGCAGGAACACCUCAAGCGUGCCUGUUGUGCAGCGUGCCUCUCUGCUGCUGGUCAAGAAGCUCGGCCUGCUGGGGCCGAAGGAGGCCAUGACGUCCAAGGCGGCCGAAGCCCUCAUCAAACGUUUCGCUGAGCCACUAACUGACGAGGACAUCUCCAUCAUCGCCAAACUUAGCCGUCUCGACCCGGAGGCGCUGCGCAUUGUCGGGGGCAUGGUUGGCUCGGAUGAAUUAGGCGACGAGGCUUGCUAUUGUGCCAGAGGAUCUUGGGGCCUAUUGGUGGCCUCUGGCACGCCCCUAAUUUGCAUGUGCCCAAUGGAUAACAACCAAUUUUCCCUCGUGUCCUGGAAUGUCAGAGGGUUGAACUCUCCGGCAAGGAGAGCUGCUGUGUGUGAACUUGCCGCCGCUCACAAAACCCCAAUUCUUUGCCUACAGGAGAUAAAGCUGGAAUCAUGGUCGCCUAGCAUCGUGCGCGAGCUGGGAGGCAACCGUUUGGAUGGAUGCGCGGUCCUGCCGGCAGUUGGAACAAGAGGAGGUGCGGCGAUCCUCUGGGACAAGAGCGUCGUGCAGAUCGACACAAAGGUUGUGGGCUUCUUCUCGAUCACAGCCAAGGUCCCCCUCCUGCGGUGUUCAUCUACAUUCUGGCUGACAAAUGUAUACGGUCCGGUCGAUGAUGGGCUCAAGGAUUCCUUCCUGGCGGAGCUGAUCCAAUCUGCACCACCGCUAGUGCUAGCUGACACCACUGCCCCCUCCCCCCGAGGAGGGCCACUUUCAAAUUUGAGGCAUUUUGGCCGCAUUUCCCGCGCUUCAGAGAGACAGUGGAACGGGCCUGGGAGCGGCCUGUUGCGGCAAGCCCAAGAGGCACGUCGUUUGUCCUCCGCUGAAUUUUGCCUCCGCAAGCAGCUCAAGCACAGGAUCGUCGGCCUGGCGGCGAUCGAGCGUGCACGCAAGCGUCAAGCGUCCAGGGUUUUCUGGCUCCAUGCAGGUGACGCCAAGACCGCCUUCUUCCAAGCGAAGAUCAAUUCCGGGAGGCGCAAAAACCACAUCCACUCACUGCAGACUGAUACUGGGGUGGCCACCGCACACGAAGACAAGGCCACCAUUGCUCACGCCCACUUCCUUCAGCUGCUCGGCACAAGGCGGCCACCUGGGGGUGAUUUUGCGGCCCUAAACUCCAUGAUUGUGCUGCUGCCGAAGAAGGACGGGGCAACAAGUAUGGGUGAUUACAGGCCCAUCAGCCUUAUUCACUCCAUCGCAAAACUAAUCGCCAAGGUUCUAUCCAUGAGGCUGGCCCCUGUCAUCAGCACACUGAUCUCGCCUGCCCAAACUGCUUUUCAGCGUACUAAGUGCAUCCAUGACAGUUUCCUAUAUGUCCAAAACACCGUCAGAGCCCUUCAUCGCUGCAAGACACCCACCCUGCUUCUGAAAUUAGAUAUAGCCAAGGCAUUUGACAGCAUCUCUUGGGAAUAUAUCUUUGAACUUCUCCAAAAAAUGGGCUUCCCUGCACGAUGGCGAGACUGGAUUGCACUUCUGCUCUCUACAUCCUCGUCGUCUUGCCUCCUGAAUGGUUCUCCAGGCGCCUCCACCAGACAUCGUCAUGGGCUGCGACAGGCGGAUCCGCUCUCGCCGCUGCUCUUCAUUGUCUGCAUCGACCCCCUGCAUCGUCUUCUUGAGGCGGCAACCUUGGCAGGCCAGCUCUCUCCUCUGCCUGGUACAGCCGUGCGUAUGCGCACAAGCUUAUAUGCCGAUGACGUCGUGAUCUUCAUCAACCCCGCAAGGAUGGAGGUUGAUUCCCUGCUCAGCAUCCUGCACCUCUUCGGCGAGGCCACGGGCCUGCACAUCAACCUGGCCAAGUCCUCGGCAGUGCCGAUUAGCUGCGGCGACCUUGACCUCGGUUCCAUCUUGCAAAACUUUGGCGGCAUCCUGGCAUCACUAUGCAUCACGUACCUAGGCCUCCCAAUCACCACCAGUAGGAUUCGUCUAGUCCACCUGCAGUUCAUUCUAGAUAGAAUUCAUGCACGCCUUGCUGGUUGGAAGGGCAGACUGAUGCAUAUCGCCGGCCGUAGGGUGCUUGUCCGCUGCGUCCUCUCCGCUAUGCCGACGUUCGCCCUCAUGGUGCUGAGGGCACCAAAGAAGUUUUUCAAGGAGGUAGAUAAAGCCAGACGUCGUUUCCUCUGGGCACAAGACGAAGAAGCAAUCGGUGGAAAGUGCAAGGUAGCAUGGAGCACGGUCACCACGCCGGAAUCCCACGGAGGCCUAGGCAUCCAUGAUCUGCACAAAUUCGCGCGCGCCCUCUGUCUGCGCUGGCUCUGGCUCUCCUGGACUCAUCCAGAGCGGCCAUGGGUCAGCACGGACACGCCAUGCAACCUGCAGGAUCAAGCCCUCUUCGCUGCCAACACGGUGGUCACCAUCGGGGAUGGCAGGACGGCGUCCUUCUGGUCAAGUCCUUGGCUUGACAGUAGGCCACUCCGGCUGGACUACCCCACCCUGUUCGCUCGCUCCAUCCGCAAGAACAGGUCCAUCCGGGACGCGCUGCUCGACGGGCGAUGGAUCCUUGAUCUCCGCCACAGGGAAAUCAACUGCUACCACCUCCGGGCACUACUCCGCUCGCUCCGCCUAUGCGGCAUAGUUCCAGGCGCCAAUGGCACCCUUCCCCUCCAAGAACGUCUGGCGUAUCUGGGCACCUGGGAAGCUCAAGAUGUUCCUAUGGAUGCUACACCUCGACAGGCAUGGACAACGGCGGCAUCAUGGCGGGGCUGUCACUCCCUAGCACACGCUACCUGGAGCUCCGGAACAACGACGACGGAAAGAGUGAGACUGAUCACGGACGCGGCAAGCCCAACUGACAGGAAGGGCACCAUAUCAACUCUUGCACUCAUUGCCUGGCACAUAUGGCUUGGGCGUAAUGCAUGCACCUUCCGUGGUAAGAUGUCGUGCUCUCGCACCAUCAUUGAAGCAUGUCGUCGCGACAUGGAGCAAUGGAGGAUCGCAGGAGCAGCCUGCAUUGAGCACCCCUUCGGGGAUGUGCCAGAGGCGACCACAGGCGACCACAAAGCCCUAGGCGCCUCCGAUGCUAACCCCUCGCCGACGCUAGGGGCUACUGUGGUCGGAGAAAGAGAUGAGGGCUCAAGUGGAGCUCUUUGUCUAGCAUUGCUCAGCGACUACGUUGGUGAAGCCGGUGGCGGCCGGAAAAAUCCAACAUUGUGUGCUUCUACAACGGCUCGCCCUGGCUACUUCACCGGAGAAGAAACAGAGCCGCGCGCGAGCCAGAGCCAGGAGCCAAGGCGCCGCUCCUUCUCGACGGGAAUCGCCGGCGACGGCCCGCCCCGACCUGCACCUGGCCAGCCCAGGGCGCCCAGCACAGGCACAGCGGAUGGCCUUCCGCUUUCCGUUGUCCCUCGGCGGAAGAUCGCAAGGAGCGACUUAGCGCGGCUGGUUCUGCUAAACCAGCUAGAUUCGCGCAGCACCUGCAUUCGCGCGCUCGAGCAGCUGCUUCCGAUCGAGGCGCCCCACGCUCGAGAAUCCUCUCCAACUAAAAUGGCGCCAGCCUCUAAUCCUAGCGUACGCAUCUACUCCGACGGCUCGCACGACGGCGCCCUGCAGGUGUUCGGUGAAUUGCCCCACUGGGAAGAUUGCGCCGCUGGCGUCGGAUAA